AGUUAUCGUUUAUUUGAUAGUACUUUACUACUUGGAUAACCGUGGUAAUUCUAGAGCUAAUACAUGCUGAAAACCCUGACUUCGGAAAGGGUGUAUUUAUUAGAUAAAAAACCAAUGCCCAUUCGGGCUCUUUGGUGAUUCAUGAUAACUUAACGGAUCGCAUGGCCUUGCGCCGGCGACGGUUCAUUCAAAUUUCUGCCCUAUCAACUUUCGAUGGUAAGGUAUUGGCUUACCAUGGUUUCAACGGGUAACGGGGAAUUAGGGUUCGAUUCCGGAGAGGGAGCCUGAGAAACGGCUACCACAUCCAAGGAAGGCAGCAGGCGCGCAAAUUACCCAAUCCCGACACGGGGAGGUAGUGACAAUAAAUACUGAUACAGGGCUCUUUUGGGUCUUGUAAUCGGAAUGAGUACAAUUUAAACCUCUUAACGAGGAACAAUUGGAGGGCAAGUCUGGUGCCAGCAGCCGCGGUAAUUCCAGCUCCAAUAGCGUAUAUUAAAGUUGUUGCAGUUAAAAAGCUCGUAGUUGAAUCUUGGGCCUGGCUGGCCGGUCCGCCUCACCGCGUGUACUGGUCUGGCCGGGCCUUUCCUUCUGGAGAGCCUCAUGCCCUUCAUUGGGUGUGCUGGGGAACCAGGACUUUUACUUUGAAAAAAUUAGAGUGUUCAAAGCAGGCCUUUGCUCGAAUACGUUAGCAUGGAAUAAUAGAAUAGGACGUGCGGUCCUAUUUUGUUGGUUUUUAGGACCGCCGUAAUGAUUAAUAGGGAUAGUCGGGGGCAUCAGUAUUCAAUUGUCAGAGGUGAAAUUCUUGGAUUUAUUGAAGACUAACUACUGCGAAAGCAUUUGCCAAGGAUGUUUUCAUUAAUCAGUGAACGAAAGUUAGGGGAUCGAAGACGAUCAGAUACCGUCGUAGUCUUAACCGUAAACUAUGCCGACUAGGGAUCGGGCGAUGUUAUUUUUUCGACUCGCUCGG
rnacentral:rRNA from 1 species